rnacentral:rRNA from 1 species
GAUGAACGCUAGCGGCAGGCCUAACACAUGCAAGUCGAGGGGGAGGUUACUUUCGGGUAACUGAGACCGGCGUACGGGUGCGUAACGCGUAUACAAUCUGCCUUUCACUGGGGGAUAGCCCGAAGAAAUUUGGAUUAAUACUCCAUAGUAUAGUAAUACGGCAUCGUGAUGCUAUUAAAGCGUAGGUGGUGAAAGAUGAGUAUGCGUUCUAUUAGCUAGUUGGAGAGGUAACGGCUCCCCAAGGCGAUGAUAGAUAGGGGUUCUGAGAGGGAUGUCCCCCACACUGGAACUGAGAUACGGACCAGACUCCUACGGGAGGCAGCAGUGAGGAAUAUUGGACAAUGGUCGGAAGACUGAUCCAGCCAUGCCGCGUGCAGGAUGAAGGUGUUAUGGAUUGUAAACUGCUUUUGAAAGGGAAGAAUAAGGGCUACGCGUAGUUUGAUGACGGUACCUUACGAAUAAGCAUCGGCUAACUACGUG